UACAGAGGGUGCAAGCGUUGCUCGGAAUCAUUGGGCGUAAAGGGUAGGUAGGUGGUCUCAUUUGUCUGGGGUGAAAGCCCAGGGCUUAACCCUGGAAGUGCCCCGGAAACGGUGAGACUGGAGUCUUGGAGAGGGUCGUGGAAUUCCCGGUGUAGCGGUGAAAUGCGUAGAUAUUGGGAGGAACACCAGUGGCGAAGGCGGCUCACUGGACCGGAACUGACGCUGAGGCGCGAAAGCGUGGGGAGCAAACAGG
rnacentral:rRNA from 1 species